rnacentral:lncRNA from 1 species
CAAGUUAAUAAAUUCCUCUCACCAGAGUAUCGAGAAACAUAUUUCUUCCUUUCAAAAUACUGCAGUGAACUAGUUCCUACUGUAAAAGACAAGCAUAAGUCUUAUUUUCCCACUGGAAUUUUGAAUGCAUUAAUUUGCUAUUCACCCAGGAAUCACCUCCAGUUUUGCACCUUCCACUCUAUUUUUUCAAGUAGAAAUGUGAAACAUUUGCAAUAAAUACAUGCCAAAAAGUCAGUUUAUUGUUGUUAAAAUAAAUGGAAAGCUACAUUUCAUCACUUAUUGACAUGUUUCUUACUGUCAUAGAAUUCAGAAAAUUACAUAUUUGUGAUCAAACCUAGACAUGCUCUCCAGAUUUAUAUGCCAAAUACAAUCUCUUCCAAUUUCAACUAAAGUCAACACAUUUAAUACAGUGCACGCAAUUCUAAUUAUUCUUCCACUGUAGCAAGACAAAUACAAGCUAAAAUGCAAAUUAGUUGCUAAACAUACAGCCCAAACCUGCACCCAGAACUUCUAUUAGAUCACUCUAGAGAGAAAUUUAUAGAUCAAGUUAGCUGACUAGUAAUUUACUGAUUUUAAUUUUUUAUGGGUUAAUUUUGCCAAGACCAGGAACACAUCUGUUUCAGUUAAUUCAAGGCAGGAUUUUCAGAAUGUGCCACAGACAAAAAGACUACUCAGUGUGGAAGAAUGAUACUCAAACUUGAGCAGCUGAUUUCAGUACUUUAAAGAAUAAAUCCUUGGAAGAAAAUUACAGAUACAGAGAAAGAAAAAAAGAAAACUUGUUUACAUCUUCUCUUUCUGCUCUUGACAGUGUUUUGCUUAAGUGUGCCAGGAAGCAGAAUGAGCAGGCUUCUUUACAGUGGGGGCUGAACUGGGAGCUGAGAGUGACUCAUGCCCUCCUUGGUGGGGCAUCAUCUGGGCCACCAGUGAUUGCAGAGUCUGCCUGUCUGUCCAAGGAUCAUCACAUCCUUUAUUACCAUCAUUUAGGAAAGAAAGAGAGAAGAAUGUAUGGUAAGAUAUUGUUCCCCUGUGGGAAAUGGAAAAAUGGAAAAUUCCACAGAUGCUGAAGGGUUCAAUCUGCAGCCAUAGAAAGAGCUUGGGUUAAUGUAAAGAUAAAG